AAAACGAUAAGCUAAAUAAGCUACCGGGUUCAUACCCCGUUAAUAAGAGUAAAAACUCUUUCUUUUUA
rnacentral:tRNA from 1 species